CUCCACCCCACAAUCCCUCCAUCCCACCCUCCCUCCACCCCAUCAUCCCUCAAACCUCCACCCCUCUAUCCCUCUAUCCCACCAACCCACCAUCCCUCCACCCCACAAUCCCUCCAUCCCACCCUCCCUCACCCCAUCAUCCCUCCACCAUCCCUCUAUCCCACCAUUCCUCCAUCCCUCCCUCCACCCCACCAUCCCACCAUCCCUCCACCCCACCAUCCCCCAUCCUUCCACCCCACCAUCCCCCCAUCCCUCCACCCCUCCAUCCCUCCACCCCACAAUCCUUCCAUCCCUCCACCCCACCAUCCCUCCAUCCCUCCACCCCACCAUCCACACCCUCCACCCCACAUCCCCCCCAUCCUCACCCCUCCAUCCCCACCCACAAUCCUUCCAUCCCUCCACCCCACCAUCCCUCCAUCCCUCCACCCCACCAUCCCACCAUCCCCCCACCCCCCACCCCCCCAUCCCUCCACCCCACCAUCCCUCCAUCCCUCCACCCCACCACCCCACCAUCCCUCCAUCCCACCAUCCCUCCACCCCCCAUCCCUCCACCCCACCAUCCCUCCAUCCCUCCACCCCACCACCCCUCCACCCCACCAUCCCUCCACCCACCAUCCCACCAUCCCUCCAUCCCCCCACCCCCACCAUCCCUCCACCCCCCACCCACCAUCCCUCCACCCCACUAUCCCUCCAUCCCUCCACCCCACCAUCCCCAUCCCUCCACCCCCCAUCCUUCCAUCCCUCCACCCCACAAUCCUUCCAUCCCUUCAUCCCUCCAUACACCACCACCACUGGCACUACCACCGUUCCCCACUUUCAUUGCACUUAUCAAUCAUGUGAAAUUCAGACAAUAAAAGAGUACGAGAGCCCAAUAACCAUUGCAGCUGGAGAGUAAGAGAGUAUAAAUGCAUGGAGAGUCGUUCUUGCCUGUCACGUAACGCUAUGUGGGAACCCAUCCAAAACAAACUCAGACAUUUUGGACCGUACUGCAUAUAAAUCGUUCCCGCUGCACUCUCUCUCUCUCUCUGACGCUGUGUAGCACCACCACCGA
rnacentral:lncRNA from 1 species